UGGGGAAUAUUGGACAAUGGGCGCAAGCCUGAUCCAGCCAUGCCGCGUGUGUGAAGAAGGCCUUUUGGUUGUAAAGCACUUUAAGCGAGGAGGAGGCUACUUGGAUUAAUACUCUAGGAUAGUGGACGUUACUCGCAGAAUAAGCACCGGCUAACUCUGUGCCAGCAGCCGCGGUAAUACAGAGGGUGCGAGCGUUAAUCGGAUUUACUGGGCGUAAAGCGUGCGUAGGUGGCUUUUUAAGUCGGAUGUGAAAUCCCUGAGCUUAACUUAGGAAUUGCAUUCGAUACUGGGAAGCUAGAGUAUGGGAGAGGAUGGUAGAAUUCCAGGUGUAGCGGUGAAAUGCGUAGAGAUCUGGAGGAAUACCGAUGGCGAAGGCAGCCAUCUGGCCUAAUACUGACGCUGAGGUACGAAAGCAUGGGGAGCAAACAGG
rnacentral:rRNA from 1 species